UGGGACCUUUGGGGCUUGUGGUACGUCUGGUAUGGUAAGGUAUUUUUCAUCCAAGAUGAAAAAUAUGCAGGAAAUGACUCAGUAGAAUCAUUACAUUGUUGUAACUGGUUACUAGGGAAUAUUUAACACAUUGACAUCAUAAAGGCUUCUCACCACUAUUAAUUUAACAUUAAAUCACUGACCACAGAAAAUGCAACUGAACAUUCAUUUAUGGAUGCGGGACCAGGCUUUGAAAGAGGACGCUGCUCAGCCAAGGCCACACAGCUGUCCCUCGUGAAGGCAGGAUCUGAACAUGAUGGUGUGCAUAGAAACUGAAGCAUUUUACAAGACUAUACUUUCGAGAAGUCCCUAAAGAUGUGCCGUGAAUCUGGCUAACACCGAACUAGUAAACAUAUCGUUGUAACAUCAGACUGGCUGCUGUAUACAUUAGACCAAAGAAAGGCAGGGACAAAAACAUGAUUUGAACGUUUUAAAUGAUCAGCCCAAUACUCCCUAUUUCUGGAGACGGCUAGGAAGAGCCGUCAUCACGAGUCAGACGUUGAGAGGUGCACAGAAAGAGAGAGAGAAUCACCUUGCGCCGUGUCAGCAAGCCCUGCGAGGACGACCCACCAAAACCAGGCCACAGAAAGACUGGGUAACUUCCCCAGCACCCUGGGAAGUAGUGGCUGGGAUCCCGACACACACAGGCUGGAAUCCACACGCCUCAGCCUUGCACACCGCCACCUCUCAUAAACCUGAUCCAGUACGUCACGAGACGGAGGGAACUCGGGGACUGUGACAAGGCGCCUCCAAAGAAGAGUGGAGGUUCCAUCCCACGGGAACCUUGAAGACAGAUCCAGGGCGCCAAACAGACGACCCAAGGGACAGAGUUGGCCCUCAGAUAAGUUUUUGCUCAGCGCAGUGUUGGUUCAUAACAUCCGUGUCUUCGGGAGUGCCCCAGACUGUGUCCCUCGCACAUGCACAUCACAGGCCUGGUCCCUUGGGAACCUGGGUCUAUCACGCCUGGAAAAUAGCAAUUUUGUACGGUAGGGAUUUACCUGCAAGAAGCGGGGGAAUGAGCCAGUGACCUCUUAAAGUUUUCUCCCCAGGGGCUCUGAUUCUAAGAUUAUACUUACACACACACACACACACACACACACACACACACACACACACGGGUGGCUUAUGUAAGUGAAUAUUCUUGCUCUUAGAAGACACACUGGAGGAUUUCAGGGGAAAGGCCACCGCGUCUACAGCUCACUCUCAAAUAGUCCAGCAAAAGAAAAUAAUAAAAUGUAUAAAUACGUAGAUCGUGUAAAUGUAGUGUGUGUGUACAUCAUAAAAGAGAGGGAACACAGGCAAAAGCAAAUGCACCAGAAUGUUAACAAUUGGCGCAUCUAGGGGGCCGUACACAAGAAUUCCUUCCACGCGCCACUCUUACUGUUUGUCUAGACGUGUGAAAUUUUUUAAAUAAAAAGUGUUCGUGAAAGAAAAUAAUAACAAGAAGUGGGUGCCUGGCUGGCUCAGUCGGAGCAUUCCACUCUUGAUCUUGGGUCGUGAGUUCGAGCCCCACGUCGGGCAUGGAGAGUAGUAAAAAGUAAACUUAAAAAGGAAACACAAGAUAAGGACAUUUCAUUCUCAGGCAGGAAAACCAAAGUAGUAAGAAAUAACAACAGAAAUCCUGCCUCAUAUAAACUAUCUGCAAAACAAUUUACUUUUUUGUGUUAUACUAUAUUUAUCAUGUUUGGCUUAAAAAGUUGAUUAUUGGGACGCCUGGGCGGCUCAGUCGGUUAA